rnacentral:rRNA from 1 species
CGCCUGGGGAGUACGGCCGCAAGGUUAAAACUCAAAUGAAUUGACGGGGGCCCGCACAAGCGGUGGAGCAUGUGGUUUAAUUCGAUGCAACGCGAAGAACCUUACCUGGUCUUGACAUCCACGGAAGUUUUCAGAGAUGAGAAUGUGCCUUCGGGAACCGUGAGACAGGUGCUGCAUGGCUGUCGUCAGCUCGUGUUGUGAAAUGUUGGGUUAAGUCCCGCAACGAGCGCAACCCUUAUCCUUUGUUGCCAGCGAUUAGGUCGGGAACUCAAAGGAGACUGCCAGUGAUAAACUGGAGGAAGGUGGGGAUGACGUCAAGUCAUCAUGGCCCUUACGACCAGGGCUACACACGUGCUACAAUGGCGCAUACAAAGAGAAGCGACCUCGC